AUUGAACGCUGGCGGCAUGCUUUACACAUGCAAGUCGAGCGGCAGCGCGGGGGGCAACCCUGGCGGCGAGCGGCGAACGGGUGAGUAAUGCAUCGGAACGUACCCUGGAGUGGGGGAUAACGCCGCGAAAGCGGCGCUAAUACCGCAUAUGCUCUGAGGAGGAAAGUGGGGGACCGCAAGGCCUCACGCUCUGGGAGCUGCCGAUGUCCGAUUAGCUAGUUGGUGGGGUAAAGGCUUACCAAGGCGACGAUCGGUAGCUGGUCUGAGAGGAUGAUCAGCCACACUGGGACUGAGACACGGCCCAGACUCCUACGGGAGGCAGCAGUGGGGAAUUUUGGACAAUGGGGGCAACCCUGAUCCAGCCAUGCCGCGUGAGUGAAGAAGGCCU
rnacentral:rRNA from 1 species